UAUAAUGUUCAAGUAGAUGAUUUUACAUUUAUGGACAUAUAAAAUGUCUGAUUACUCCAUUUUAUCAGUCCUGACUGUACAAGAUUGUUGCAAUUUCAGAAUAGCAGUUUUAUAAAUUGAUUUAUCUUUUAAUCUAUAACAAGUUUUGUUAGCUGUUCAUUUCAGGAUUAUAUUUUCUACAGGUUCCAUUUGUGGGACUCCUUUUGUUGCCCCUAUUUUUUUAAAGAAGGGAGAAAGAAAAAUAAGUAGCAGUUUAAAAAUGAGAAUGGAGAGAAAAGAAAAAGAAUGAAAAGGAAAGGCAGUAAAGAGGAAAAAAGGAAGGGUGGAAGGCAUGAAGGAAGGAAGGGAAGAAGGCAGGGAGAAAGAAAGGAUGAGAGGGAAGGAAGAAUCAGAGUGUUAGGGUAGUUAACUUACACAUUUGCAUUCUUAGUUUAACUGCAAGUGGUGUAAUUAUGUUUUACAAUGAGCACAUUUGAAACGUAAGUCCUAUUAUACCAUUGAGUUCCUAUUAUGCAGCAAUUAUAUAAUAAAAAGUUUGCCCAAGUUAUAGUAAUGUGAGUGUUUUUGAGACACUAAGAGAUUUGAGAGAGAGAAUUUCAAAUGUAAAGCCGCUUUUGGGGGGUUUAUGACUUAACUGAAAAAUUAAUGCUUCAUCAUAAUGUUUAAGCUAUAUCUAGAAAGUAGACUGGAGAACUGAGAAAAUUACCCAGACAAUUCAGGGCAAAAAAACCCCAAACAUAUAUAUAUAUAUACACACACACAUAUAUAUAUAUAAAUACCCCUAUGUUUGAAGUCAAAAUACUCUGAAAAACUAAAUUAUCAAAGUCAUUCAUCUACAAUGAUCAAAUUUACUGAAUAAUUGUUAAUUUAUCCAUUGUGCUUAGCUUUGUGACACAGCCAAAAGUUACCUAUUUAAUCUUUUCAAUAAAAAUUGUUUUUUGAAAUCCAGAAAUGAUUUAAAAAGAGGUCAGGUUUUUAACUAUUUAUUGAAGUAUGUGGAUGUACAGUAUUUCAAUAGAUAUGAAUAUGAAUAAAUGGUAUGCCUUAAGAUUCUUUGAAUAUGUAUUUACUUUAAAGACUGGAAAAAGCUCUUCCUGUCUUUUAGUAAAACAUCCAUAUUUCAUAACCUGAUGUAAAAUAUGUUGUACUGUUUCCAAUAGGUGAAUAUAAACUCAGUUUAUCAAUUAAAA
rnacentral:lncRNA from 1 species